CAUGUUGUCUCAGCCUGCUGAGAAUCUCUGAUCGGUCACUCCAACAAGCUACAUCUAUCCUUUCUAGUUUUCUUCUCGAUCACCGUCCAGCCAUCGGAUCCAUGAUUCUCCAUCGCCGCCGGAUCUAAACCAAUCUCCAAAUCUGACUACAUCAUCCUUUGUUCAGAUUUGGCAUCAUCACUGCCGCUUCACCUUAAUCAUUGGAGUGGUUGUUGGAGGGGGGAGUUGUUUAUUUGGUGAGCUAUGUUUCCACUGUUGCGGGCACUUUGGCUCUUCAUGAAAGUCUGUGUGGAAGAGUGGGCCCUCAGGAUUCGACGGUUUACACGAUAUGGGAUCUCCACAAAGUCGAUGUUGAACGGUUCAGGUUCUUUGAAGAGGAUUCAUGCACAUCUUUCUAUACGUUGUAAAAUACAGGAUGCUCUUGGGAGUGCUUUUUCCAUCUUGCAGUCAGAUUUUCAGUGCUGACUUGCUACAGAACCCUGGGCCCAGAGCUAACUCGCUUCCAACUUGGAGCACUGAAUCUGUGGGUGUCAAUGGAGGAAUUACAGAGAUCAACAGGACGCUUCCUCUAGUGAGCCCUCGGACAGGGACAAAGCCCACAUCUACCAAUCGACUCCUCUUUCAGAACUGCAUAUUGAGGCCGUGCCAAAGUGCAAGGAACCAUCUUCCCCGGCCAAGCCUCUACUGAAAAGCAGGGAAUCAUCCCCUUCAUCUUCCACGCCUUCCGAAUGCUCCGAACCAUCAGUCACAGACCUAACUUCUGUGCCGGCUGUAGGAAGAAGCAGCCCUCUG